rnacentral:rRNA from 1 species
UACGAAGGGGGCUAGCGUUGUUCGGAAUCACUGGGCGUAAAGCGCACGUAGGCGGAUCUUUAAGUCAGGGGUGAAAUCCAAGGCUCAACCUUGACGUACGCGUUCUGAUACUGGGGAUCUCGAGUCCGGAGAGGUGGAGUGGAACUGCGAGUGUAGAGGUGAAAUUCGUAGAUAUUCGAAGAACACCAGUGGCGAAGGCGAC